rnacentral:tmRNA from 1 species
GGGCUAGGCUGGGCGACUCGGAGUCAGGCCGCCAUCGCCCGGCAGAAAACUCUCUCCUGACUAAGCAUGUAGUCGCGGCUGGCAAUCUGGCUAAGGACCCGGGUUCAACUCCCGGCGCCUCCACCA